rnacentral:rRNA from 1 species
GAUGAACGCUGGCGGCGUGCCUAAUACAUGCAAGUCGAGCGAAUGGAUUAAGAGCUUGCUCUUAUGAAGUUAGCGGCGGACGGGUGAGUAACACGUGGGUAACCUGCCCAUAAGACUGGGAUAACUCCGGGAAACCGGGGCUAAUACCGGAUAACAUUUUGAACCGCAUGGUUCGAAAUUGAAAGGCGGCUUCGGCUGUCACUUAUGGAUGGACCCGCGUCGCAUUAGCUAGUGGGUGAGGUAACGGCUCACCAAGGCAACGAUGCGUAGCCGACCUGAGAGGGUGAUCGGCCACACUGGGACUGAGACACGGCCCAGACUCCUACGGGAGGCAGCAGUAGGGAAUCUUCCGCAAUGGACGAAAGUCUGACGGAGCAACGCCGCGGGAGUGAUGAAGGCUUUCGGGUCGCAAAACUCUGUUGUUAGGGAAGAACAAGUGCUAGUUGAAUAAGCUGGCACCUUGACGGUACCUAACCAGAAAGCCACGGCUAACUACGUGCCAGCAGCCGCCGUAA